AAACUAGCAACAGUCAAUGGAAAUAAGGAUAUACUGGAUUUUCCACCACACAAAAAUAAUCACAAAAACAAAACCUAGUCAUUUGAAAAAAUAAACAAGUCAAGUAGAAAGCGAAAAAUGAAGGGGAAAAAUCUUUAGCAACUCUUCUCUAGCAAUAUCACUAUUGAAACAAAAAAACCGACUCAAAGACAAGGUAAGUAAAGGACCUCACUGGU
rnacentral:misc_RNA from 1 species